rnacentral:misc_RNA from 1 species
UCCGGUUUGUCACCGGCAGUCCCAUUAGAGUGCUCAACUGAAUGUAGCAACUAAUGGCAAGGGUUGCGCUCGUUGCGGGACUUAACCCAACAUCUCACGACACGAGCUGACGACAGCCAUGCAGCACCUGUGUUACGGCUCCCUUUCGGGCACGUCUCCACCUCUAAGCGGACUUCCUGACAUGUCAAGGGUAGGUAAGGUUUUUCGCGUUGCAUCGAAUUAAUCCACAUCAUCCACCGCUUGUGCGGGUCCCCGUCAAUUCCUUUGAGUUUUAAUCUUGCGACCGUACUCCCCAGGCGGUCGACUUCACGCGUUAGCUGCGGUACUAAGGAAGUCUCCUUCCCCAACACCUAGUCGACAUCGUUUAGGGCGUGGACUAC